GACGAACCGUGCAAACGUUGUUCGGAAUCACUGGGCUUAAAGGGCGCGUAGGCGGGUGGUCAAGUCAGGGGUGAAAUCUUUCGGCUCAACCGGAAAACAGCCUCUGAUACUGACCGUCUUGAGCGAGGUAGGGGCAUGUGGAACUUCCGGUGGAGCGGUGAAAUGCGUUGAUAUCGGAAGGAACGCCGGUGGCGAAAGCGACGUGCUGGACCUCUUCUGACGCUGAGGCGCGAAAGCUAGGGGAGCGAACGGG
rnacentral:rRNA from 1 species